CCACAGCAGGCAUGGCAAUACCAGCAGCAACGCCUUGAGUUCAUUUUGUGAACAGUCCAGCAGGGAUGAGUGCUACUACGCCCUUUGUCCUGCUGCUCUCAGCCAUGCUUACAAGACCGGUCUCCAUCCUCCCAAGCUCUCCCUCAUCCCAUGCAGCACACAAGUCCCUUCUCUUCCACUUCAUCCCACUCAGUCCUGCUAGGUCAGCUUUCCCCUUUGCACAUGGAGCCUCUCACCACGCACUCUCUCAGCGGUUCCCACUGAGCCCACCAGCCCUUCAGCAAUAUCACCUUCCUCACUCCUUCCCUGCCUCCCCGCUAAAUAUCCAC
ensembl:lncRNA